AGCGAACGCUGGCGGCAGGCCUAACACAUGCAAGUCGAACGAAGUCUUCGGACUUAGUGGCGGACGGGUGAGUAACACGUGGGAACGUGCCUUUAGGCUCGGAAUAACUCAGGGAAACUUGUGCUAAUACCGAAUGUGCCCUUCGGGGGAAAGAUUUAUCGCCUUUAGUGCGGCCCGCGUCUGAUUAGCUAGUUGGUGAGGUAAUGGCUCACCAAGGCUACGAUCAGUAGCUGGUCUGAGAGGAUGACCAGCCACAUUGGGACUGAGACACGGCCCAAACUCCUACGGGAGGCAGCAGUGGGGAAUCUUGCGCAAUGGGCGAAAGCCUGACGCAGCCAUGCCGCGUGGAUGAUGAAGGUCUUAGGAUUGUAAAAUCCUCUCACCGGUGAAGAUAAUGACUGUAGCCGGAGAAGAAGCCCCGGCUAACCUCGUGCCAGCCGCCGCCGUAAUAC
rnacentral:rRNA from 1 species